CGCUGGCGGCAUGGCUAGACAUGCAAGUCGAACGGACUAUUUUGAAGAGUAAUCGGAUUCAUAGUUAGUGGCGAAAGGGUGAGGAAUAGAUAGGUAACGUACCGCGGGCUCUGGAAUAGCUCAUCGAAAGAUGGGGUAAUGCCGGAUGAUGUCCUUUGUUUAAUGCAGAGGACCAAAGAUUUAUCGGCCUGCGAGCGGCCUAUCUCCUAUCAGCUUGUUGGUGAGGUAACGGCUCACCAAGGCGACGACGGGUAGCGGGACUGAGAGGUUGGCCCGCCACAUCGGAACUGAGACACUGUCCGGACCUCCACGGAGGGCUGCAGUAACGAAUAUUGGGCAAGGGGCGAAAGCCUGACCCAGCAAUGCCGCGUGUAGGAUGAAGCCCCUCGGGGUGUAAACUACUUUCAGGGAUUAGAAAGCUUCGGUUGAUCAGUCCCAGAAGAAGUCACGGCUAACUUCGUGCCAGCAGCCGCGGUAAUACGAAGGUGGCAAGCGUUAUUCGAAAUCACUGGGCUUAAAGGGUGCGUAGGCGGAACUGAAAGUGUUUUGUGAAAUCCCUCGGCUUAUCCGAGGAAUUGCUUGGCAAACUACAGUUCUUGAGGCAAGUAGGGGUGUGUGGAACUCUUGGUGGAGCGGUGGAAUGCGUAGAUAUCAAGAGGAACGCCGAAAGUGAAGACAGCACACUGGACUUGUACUGACGCUGAG
rnacentral:rRNA from 1 species